GGGCGGGGCCAGGCAACCCCCGCCAGCCUCACCUGCGGUCCCAGGUGGCUACUCCCACACCGGCCUCGGACAAACAUCCCUUUGUCUGCCUGCCUCGCUAGAUCCCUCUGCCUUAACGGGGGGAGAUUUAGCCGUCCUCGAGAAGAGCCCGAGAGCAGCCGGCACUCCCUGCGGGGGCGUGUUUAUAGGAUCCCCCAGAUUCCGCUCAGUGGCUCAGGAGCGAAGGCUUCUCGCCCCUUAUCCCCCCCGACCCUAUGAAGGAGAAAAUUCGAAUCCCCAAACUCAAGUUGGGCGUAUAGAGAAGCCCCAGGUUCCGCUCCCUGCGCUCCCCAGUGCCUUCAUCCUAGGGACUGGCCUUCUCAGGAGCUGAGGAUGCGGAGGUUCCUACAAUACCGAUUUUUUUUCCCGUUUUCCCAAGUUUCUACACAUUCAGAGCCCAUCGGAUGCUUCCCUUCUCGGAAACUUUGCCUUGAGGGGGAUGACAUGGGAUUUUCUUCCCACAGAGUUGUGGAGUGGGGGAGGAAUGGGGACAUCACACAGCCCAGACCUCUCUCUGCUCUACCACCACCACUGCUGGGUACUAAGCUCUCCUUUAAGGGCCAGGAUAGAGCAGUGGAUUCAUAAAGGUCACAGACUGGUGAGAAGGGUCUGCACAAGCCAGUCAGGUCCGAGUCCGAGCUAUAAAUGCCCUUCCCUAAUCGGGCUCUUUCCCAAAGGUUGAGACUGAUGGCAGUCUCGGCAAACAACUUGAGGGCCUCAGUAUUUUCGUUGUCUCAAGGGUCGCUCCCGAAUAGUGAUGGACCCAAAAACUUUCAGAAGGAAAAAGAGAACAUCAAAAUAGCGAGGACAUGUGGCUUUUGUUAGGGAUACUGUUAAGCAUCCACUCAGGAGGUUCCCCAAACUUUACUGAAACCUAACUUAGCUCAUUCCUCUGUUUUCUCACUCCCGUUUAUGCCCACUUAUGCCUUUUAAGCCCUGGGACAAUUUGUGGACUGUGGAUGGCCACACACCCUCGGAGCCAUGUGAAAGAUAAAAUUGUUAUCCUUGGGCUGGGGGGGGGGGGGGUGAACCAGGAAUUUUGCGAUUUGUGAGAGCUGUUUUCUUAAACGGAAAUUGAGCCCUAUUCUGAGGGAAAUUAGUUUUGCAGACUUUGGUUUAAAAAAAAAAAAAAAAAAAAAAAAAACGAAAACUUUUGUCCACCAGCUGCCUGCCUGCCCUGCUUUUUGGGGCAGUGUUGGUGAGAACAGGGAGCUGUAGACUGCCAGAGACUGACGAUCUUUUCUCCAUUGUGCUGGGCCAGUAUCCAGGGCUGCUGGCAACAAAGGUAUUUAGAAACUAGAGCCAUGAUCCAGAAUUGUUCACCUGGGGCAAAAAGAGACAAGCAGGGGCAUCGUACAGUGGAAGGUCUGAGCCCCUUGGGUGCAAUUAUUCCAGAAAAAGGUGGCUUAUUCUUCAGCAUUUGUAUGGAGAAAAGUGGGAAGGCGGGUCUAGGAAAGGGGUAUCAUGGUGAUGGGACCUGGGGGAACAGGGGCUGAUUAUCCUUAUUUUUUGGGGGGGGUCAUCAGGAGGCUGAGAAGUCAGGAGUGAUUGUAGAUAAGAAGUAUGUCCCAUCCAUGCCCUAAGGUAAGACUCUGCCUGGGUGCUAAUCACAGCUCUGAUGGAAACAACUUAACUCUGAACUUGGGAAAGUUGGAUUGCUUACAGAGUAGAGGAGCCUAUUGAGGGGGGAGAGAAAUAUUUAAGAAAAGGUGGGGAGGGGCUGCAGGGCUCCCAGGUAGGGAUACAAGUAUCCCCAAAUAAAAAAAUGUCCCCCAUGCUUAAAGUUGUUCAUUCUUGCUUUGGAUAUUCCCACUAGCUCUUUUUGUUUGUAUCCUUGGAUGAUGGUUUAGGCUGUGUACUAAGGCUCUGAUUGAGCUAAAAGAGGGGAAAAAAGCCUCAAAGGCAUGUGGUUUUACAUCUGAGGGGGCCCAGAGCCGAACUUGAUCUUUCCAAAAUCAACAGUCAGUUGGCUCCAGGUCCACCUUUUCUGACAGUAGCAGAGAAAUAAUUUAAGUGUUUCAAGAAAAAUGACCAUUCUGGGCCAAACACGUCUCUCUUUUGUGACUCCAUUAUUUCAAAAGCAGGGGCCCUGAGAAUCUGAGAACCAGCAAUACGGAGAAGAUGACAGGAAGAUCAAGGAUGGCGGCUCCUGGAGUCAUGGUGCACCGUGUCCUCCUGCCUGAAAUUUACUCCGAGGAUAUGAAAGGAGUUCCCGAUAUUUUGUGCAAAGGCUAGCCAGACCCCAGCUAUUCCUUCAAGCUCAGGCCACCAAGGCGGUUGGUGUUCCUUUCCAUGUUCUCAAAGGAGACUUCCCCAAUCCAAGGCUUACAUCUAAUCUGCUUUAUGGAUCACCAAUGGGAUGAAUGAAAACUGUAUUUCAGGAGAUGAUAAGGUCCCAUUUGUUCAGCUGCCACCAUUACGAAUUUUCCAAAGAGUUUUAAGGGCCCACAAACUCUCAAAAUAUUGUUCUUAGGAAGAGGGAAUAUUUGAUUCACAUUUGUGCCGACCUCAGAAAUGUGAGGGCCCUUUCCUUUUUUGCAAAGGAAGCGUUUUAUACCAAGACUGACCCCACAGAGAGAGCAAUUCAGGCCAUAAACGUGGGCAAUUUAAAUUAGUCUUUUGGGCGAAAAUCUUUCUCUAUUCCAAGUCACUCAAAAUAUUACCUCAAUGUAACCUGAACCAUUGGGAGUAGCCAGACUUAAACUGGUGUUAUGUUUUCAGUAGUAAAGACUGAUAACUUGAUAGUUCCCUGGGGUUGGAUGCUUAUGGUAGAAGUCCAAAGUUGACAUUGCACGGUAUUUUCCUGUAAAUCCCCAGGGCUGGAUUACAGAUGAGAUAAGUAAAGACGUAUAGAGAACUUCAAUCUGACUAUGGUUCUCUUCAAAUAGAUGGUGACAAUAGCCAACAUCCCAGCAGGCUUCUUCAUUCUCAAAUUAAUAUCAUUUUGUUCCAAAAGUUGGGGGUCAUGAAAACUUGACUGGGAAUGUUUGUUUAAUACUUUUUUUGGGUAGAAAGUAGAUUUAUUCCAUUUUCUGAAUGUCACACUUAGCAAGAGGGGGAAAACCCUUCAUCUUGUUUUGAUUUUUCUAUUCCCUUUUUCUUAUAAGAUUAUCAGGAAGUACAUAAUUUCUGCUCUAAAAGGAACUUAGCUUGAUAUAUUCUGUCUCCUUCUUUAUAUUUUGCAAAGGAUUGAAUUAAAUGAUAGAUAAAUUAAGUGUCUUGUACCAGGUUAAAAAGAAUUAAUAGUAUACAUUGCAGAACCCUGGAGUCCCAAGCCAGAAUUCAGUCCUGAUUGUUUCUGGGUAUAAAACUAUUUUGCUGUAGCAAGCCCCUUGUGUCUGCAGGGCUUGUCAAAGGCCACUUAGGUUGUUGGUUUGUUUUCUCUGCUGUCCUCGAGGAUAUCAACAAUAAUAGCAUUUAUAUGGCUCUUGAAGAUUUGCAAAGUGCUUUGCAGCUAGGAUUUCAUUUGGUCCAAUAAUCCUUAGAAUUAGGUGCUAUUAUUAUCCUCAUUUCACAGAUGAAGAAAUGGAGGCAGGGAAGGGUUAAGUGACUGACCCAAGACCACACAACUAAUGUGAACUUUAAAUAAAGACAUUAAAUCAGCAAUUUCAGAUCUUUCCAUCUGUCUUAAGGCUGAAACCAUAGUGGGUUUUUCCCCACCUCCUAUCCCCAAUGUGUUGUCUCUUCUAUUUUAAUGAGGACUUUUUGAGAGUGGGGGCUGUCUCACUUUUCUAAUUAUAACUCCAGAGAUUAAAAUUGUGCUUUGCACAUAAUAACCACUGAAAUAACAAGGCAUUCAUUCCUUCCAGUGUCUGAGGCAGGAUUAGAAAUCAUCUGCCUAACUCCAGGUUCAGAACUCUUCCCAAUGUAUCACCUACCUGGAGCCAUGAAAAUGAAAACAACAAUAAACACACACACACACACACACACUCACUCACUCACUAACUUACUCACACACAACCCCAAGCCUCUAGCAGCUUUAAGGAUUUCAACCCCAGGAGUAAUCUAGGAUUACUCUGUUACUGGGGUCUGCUAGAGCCAAACGCCUUUCCAAUUCCACAAGAAACUGGCAGAUAUGAUCAUGUGGUACACACUUGUGGAAGGAUAUUCAAAAGGAAUGGAAUAAAGGAAUGCACUGUGUAUGCACCAACCAUUCAUGAAUCUUGUCAAUCAAUAAGUAUCUGUCUCUGUC